rnacentral:rRNA from 1 species
CGUGCCAGCAGCCGCGGUAAUACGGAGGAUCCAUGCGUUAUCCGGAAUCAUUGGGUUUAAAGGGUCCGUAGGCGGUCUAAUAAGUCAGUGGUGAAAUCCUUCCGCUUAACGGGAGAACGGCCAUUGAUACUGUUAGACUUGAAUUAUUAGGAAGUAACUAGAAUAUGUAGUGUAGCGGUGAAAUGCUUAGAGAUUACAUGGAAUACCAAUUGCGAAGGCAGGUUACUACUAAUGGAUUGACGCUGAUGGACGAAAGCGUGGGUAGCGAACAGGAUUAGAUACCCUGGUAGUCCACGCCGUAAACGAUGGAUACUAGCUGUUCGGAGCAAUCUGAGUGGCUAAGCGAAAGUGAUAAGUAUCCCACCUGGGGGGUACGUUCGCAAGAAUGAAACUCAAAGGAAUUGACGGGGGCCCGCACAAGCGGUGGAGCAUGUGGUUUAAUUCGAUGAUACGCGAGGAACCUUACCAAAGCUUAAAUGUAGAUUGACCGGUUUGGAAACAGAUCUUUCGCAAGACAAUUUACAAGGUGCUGCAUGGUUGUCGUCAGCUCGUGCCGUGAGGUGUCAGGUUAAGUCCUAUAACGAGCGCAACCCCUGUCGUUAGUUGCCAGCGAGUCAUGUCGGGAACUCUAACGAGACUGCCAGUGCAAACUGAGAGGAAGGUGGGGAUGACGUCAAAUCGUCACGGCCCUUACGCCUUGGGCUACACACGUGCUACAAUGGCCGGUACAGAGAGCAGCCACUGGGGCGACCAGGAGCGAAUCUAUAAAACCGGUCACAGUUCGGAUCGGAGUCUGCAACUCGACUCCGUGAAGCUGGAAUCGCUAGUAAUUGGAUAUCAGCCAUGAUCCGGUGAAUACGUUCCCGGCUUGUACACACCGCCCGUC